rnacentral:rRNA from 1 species
CUCGAACUCCGAACGGGCAAGGAGCCGGGGUCGCCCGAUCGGACCCCGGACGUGAAGUCGACGAUGGUCGGUGGGCUGGUUUGGUAAGCAGAACGGGCGAUUCGGGAUGAACCGGAAGCGGGGAGAAAGGGCCCGAGAUUGCGUCGACGCGGAUCCCGAAAAGGGCGUCGAUCCGUCGCGACAGCGGGACGGUGGUCAUGGAAGUCGAAAUCCGCUAAGAAGCGUGUAAAAACGUACCCGCCCAACGGAUCGGCCCCGAAAAUUGAUGGCGCUCGAACGCAACCCUCGAACCCCGCCGACGGAGGCUAGGGGAGGCCCCGUCGAGUAGGCGGACGCGCGGGUCGCUUCGACGCUCCCGCGCGAGCGGGGGCGGAGCGGCCCGUGGUGCAGAUCUUGGUGGUAGUAGCGAUCACCCAGGCGAGAACCCUGAGGGCCGAAGUGGAGAAGGGUUUCUCGAGAACGGCACUCGCUCGAGAGUUAGUCGAUCCUAAGCUGCCGGCGGCAGCCACGAAACGGUCGAUCGGGCGCGAGCCCGGCAGCCACGACCGGGCAGCGAAAGGGAAU